rnacentral:rRNA from 1 species
GUGCCAGCCGCCGCGGUAAUACGAAGGGUGCAAACGUUGCUCGGAAUCAUUGGGCGUAAAGCGCACGUAGGCGGCCCAGCAAGUUGGAUGUGAAAUCCCUCGGCUCAACCGAGGACGUGCAUCCAAAACUGCUGGGCUUGAGUACUGAAGAGGAUCGCGGAAUUCCCGGUGUAGAGGUGAAAUUCGUAGAUAUCGGGAGGAACACCAGUGGCGAAGGCGGCGAUCUGGGCAGAUACUGACGCUGAGGUGCGAAAGCGUGGGGAGCAAACAGGAUUAGAUACCCCAGUAGUCC